UACGUAGGCAGCAAGCGUUGUUCGGAGUUACUGGGCGUAAAGGGUGCGUAGGCGGUUGUUUAAGUUUGGUGUGAAAUCUCCCGGCUCAACUGGGAGGGUGCGCCGAAUACUGAAUGACUAGAGUGCGGGAGAGGAGAGUGGAAUUCCUGGUGUAGCGGUGAAAUGCGUAGAUAUCAGGAGGAACACCGGCGGUGUAGACGGCUUUCUGGACCGUAGCUGACGCUGAGACACGAAAGCGUGGGUAGCAAACAGG
rnacentral:rRNA from 1 species